rnacentral:rRNA from 1 species
CCAAUAGCGUAUAUUAAAGUUGUUGCAGUUAAAAAGCUCGUAGUUGAAUUUCGGGAUUAGUACGUUGGUCGUGCCUUCGGUACGUACUGGUGUUACUGAUUCCUACCUUCUGACGAACCAUCAUGUCAUUUAUUUGGUGUGGCGGGGAAUCAGGACUGUUACUUUGAAAAAAUUAGAGUGUUUAAAGCAGGAUAGCGCUUGAAUACAUUAGCAUGGAAUAAUGAAAUAGGACGUUGACCCUAUUUUGUUGGUUUCUAGGAUUGACGUAAUGAUUAAUAGGGAUAGUUGGGGGCAUUAGUAUUCAAUUGUCAGAGGUGAAAUUCUUUGAUUUAUUGAAGACUAACUACUGCGAAAGCAUUUGCCAAGGAUGUUUUCAUUAAUCAAGAACGAAAGUUAGGGGAUCGAAGACGAUCAGAUACCGUCGUAGUCUUAACCAUAAACUAUGCCGACUAGGGAUCGGAUGAUGUUAUUUUUAAUGACUCAUUCGGCGCCUUACG